rnacentral:tRNA from 1 species
UCCGAGGUGGCUCAGUGGUAAAGAAUCUGUCUGCCAAUGCAGAAGGCCCAGGUUUGAUCCCUGGAUUGGGAA